UCAUCUAGAUAUUAAGGACUGGG
rnacentral:rasiRNA from 1 species